rnacentral:rRNA from 1 species
GAUGAACGCUGGCGGCGUGCCUAAUACAUGCAAGUCGAGCGAACGGACGAGAAGCUUGCUUCUCUGAUGUUAGCGGCGGACGGGUGAGUAACACGUGGAUAACCUACCUAUAAGACUGGGAUAACUUCGGGAAACCGGAGCUAAUACCGGAUAAUAUUUUGAACCGCAUGGUUCAAAAGUGAAAGACGGUCUUGCUGUCACUUAUAGAUGGAUCCGCGCUGCAUUAGCUAGUUGGUAAGGUAACGGCUUACCAAGGCAACGAUGCAUAGCCGACCUGAGAGGGUGAUCGGCCACCCUGAAACUGAGACACGGUCCAGACUCCUACGGGGGGAAGCAGUAGGGACUCUUCCGCAAUGGGCGAAAGCCUGACGGAGCAACGCCGCGGGAGUGAUAAAGGUCUUCGGAUCUAAAAACUCUUUUAUUAGGGAAAAACAUAUGUGAAAGUACCUGUCCACAUCUGGGCGUUCCCUAAUAAGAAGCCCAGGGCUACGUCGGUC